rnacentral:rRNA from 1 species
UAGCAUAUCAAUAAGCGGAGGAAAAGAAACUAACAAGGAUUCCCCUAGUAGCGGCGAGCGAAGCGGGAAGAGCUCAAAUUUAUAAUCUGGCACCUUCGGUGUCCGAGUUGUAAUCUCUAGAAAUGUUUUCCGCGUUGGACCGCACACAAGUCUGUUGGAAUACAGCGGCAUAGUGGUGAGACCCCCGUAUAUGGUGCGGACGCCCAGCGCUUUGUGAUACAUUUUCGAAGAGUCGAGUUGUUUGGGAAUGCAGCUCAAAUUGGGUGGUAAAUUCCAUCUAAAGCUAAAUAUUGGCGAGAGACCGAUAGCGAACAAGUACCGUGAGGGAAAGAUGAAAAGCACUUUGGAAAGAGAGUUAACAGUACGUGAAAUUGUUGGAAGGGAAACGCUUGAAGUCAGACUUGCUUGCCGAGCAAUCGGUUUGCAGGCCAGCAUCAGUUUUCCGGGAUGGAUAAUGGUAGAGAGAAGGUAGCAGUUUCGGCUGUGUUAUAGCUCUCUGCUGGAUACAUCUUGGGGGACUGAGGAACGCAGUGUGCCUUUGGCGGGGGUUUCGACCUCUUCACACUUAGGAUGCUGGUGGAAUGGCUUUAAACGACCCGUCUUGAAACACGGACCAAGGAGUCUAACAUGCUUGCGAGUAUUUGGGUGUCAAACCCGGAUGCGUAAUGAAAGUGAAUGGAGGUGGGAACCGCAAGGUGCACCAUCGACCGAUCUGGAUUUUUAAUGAUGGAUUUGAGUAAGAGCACGUAUGUUGGGACCCGAAAGAUGGUGAACUAUGCCUGAAUAGGGCGAAGCCAGAGGAAACUCUGGUGGAGGCUCGUAGCGGUUCUGACGUGCAAAUCGAUCGUCAAAUUUGGGUAUAGGGGCGAAAGACUAAUCGAACCAUCUAGUAGCUGGUUCCUGCGA